UAUUCGAAAGAGGUGAGCCAAACUGCCUGUGCAAAUACUUAGAAGCAGAAUGCCAAAAACCUGCUUUCCCAACCUAGUUCAGGUGGCAAUGGUUACAAUGCUUCUGAGCAUGGUCUUCGUUGAAGAAAUCAUUUCAGGAUUUACCGGAAGUACCCCAAGUUGUUAUUAUCAUCCUCCAUAUAACUGCCCGUCAUCGAAAGAUGGCCAAAAGCGUCAACUUAGAAAGAUUGAGGACAUGUGCUUGACAAAGAAGAGAAGCCUCUGCCAAUCUGUUCAACUUUACUGCAACUUUGAACAAGAACUUGGUAACAAUUGAAUAAAAAUAUUGGAGAACCAACGCAGAAAUAAAAAGGCUAAGGAGUUGAACAAUGUUAAAUGAUAAAUUUAUGUUAGUACGCAAAAGGUCUUAAUUUAGGCCAUUUUAAUAUCAAUUUAAGCUACUAUUUUUUUUCCAAGCUCCAUGGGUACACUUAUUAAAUUAAUUUACAUGCCUGUAAACUAAAGAAUAAAUUGCGCCAAGUGGU